AUUUGGCUGCAGCAGCGUGAAUCGCUUCCAGGGAGGGGAGAAUAGCGACGAAAGUUCCCGAACCUUUACGGUGAAUUUCAAAAUCCCGUAACUUCUCCAUCCGAGCUCCAAUCGCCGCACCAUUUGCGGCCACGCGUUUACUGCAUCGAGCUCUAUAUUUCUACCGGAACAAUUUUACUGGAUCCAAUUAGCUUGAGGAAAAUGUUCACUCUUGCUUAUGUGAAGCUUGGAUGCAGGUCGGGAGCCAUCUCGUUAGGCGUCUGGACUCUUAAAGCGGAGGGGUUACUGGAUAGUAUUGUUGUAUAGUUUUGUUGUACAGUGAUGUAUAUAUAUGUACUUAGCUUUCUUUCUGCAUAACUUGUCCUUUUUGAUCCUCUUAGAUGUUUAUGGAGAGCCAGGAUUGUGUAUAUGUCCUUUUGGGUUUUGGAUAUGUAUGUAUAUAUGUGUAAAUAUUCUCCGGCCAGUCUUGACUUCGCAGGCUGAGUUAGGAGCUUGUUAUUUUGUAUC